CUCCGUUUUUGGCAAUGGUAGAACUCGCACUGGUGAGGUAAUGGGACCGGUGGUUCUAGACUUGCCAACUACGGCG
rfam:Pteropus alecto contig36169, whole genome shotgun sequence.